rnacentral:rRNA from 1 species
GAUGAACGCUGGCGGCGUGCCUAAUACAUGCAAGUCGAGCGAACAGACGAGGAGCUUGCUCCUCUGAUGUUAGCGGCGGACGGGUGAGUAACACGUGGAUAACCUACCUAUAAGACUGGGAUAACUUCGGGAAACCGUAGCUAAUACCGGAUAAUAUUUUGAACCGCAUGGUUCAAUAGUGAAAGACGGUUUUGCUGUCACUUAUAGAUGGAUCCGCGCUGCAUUAGCUAGUUGGUAAGGUAACGGCUUACCAAGGCAACGAUGCGUAGCCGACCUGAGAGGGUGAUCGGCCACACUGGAACUGAGACACGGUCCAGACUCCUACGGGAGGCAGCAGUAGGGAAUCUUCCGCAAUGGGCGAAAGCCUGACGGAGCAACGCCGCGUGAGUGAUGAAGGUCUUCGGAUCGUAAAACUCUGUUAUUAGGGAAGAACAUAUGUGUAAGUAACUGUGCACGUCUUGACGGUACCUAAUCAGAAAGCCACGGCUAACUACGUG